rnacentral:rRNA from 1 species
UACGAAGGGGGCGAGCGUUAUUCGGAAUUACUGGGCGUAAAGGGCGCGUAGGCGGCGCGGUAAGUCGGGUGUGAAAUCUCGGAGCUUAACUCCGAAACUGCAUUCGAUACUGCCGUGCUUGAGGACUGGAGAGGAGACUGGAAUUUACGGUGUAGCAGUGAAAUGCGUAGAUAUCGUAAGGAAGACCAGUGGCGAAGGCGGGUCUCUGGACAGUUCCUGACGCUGAGGCACGAAGGCCAGGGGAGCAAACGGG